ACGACGAAAGUUCAACUCUAACGCAUAUCAUGAACUCUCGGGUCGUCGGUCUCUUAGGCGUGGACUCGAGUCGUCACGCGCAGUCACAAGUACACCGUGUCAAAAUUAGCCAGCAGUGUGAUUACAUGACUUAGGUGAUGCGUUUUCAUGUUUUGUCACCUUGUGAGGCCACAAUGUUAGUCGGCAGCGUUACCGUGUGAAUGGAGGGAUACGUGCAACACAUGGUAGGAGUGCUUAUAUAUAGAGAGAGGAUGGGUAUAGCUGCUUAGAGAUCGAGCAUGUACAUUUACAAACAAACAAAAGCACUCCCAAUACUUCAGGAGAGUUAAGAUAGGAUGGUGUCUUUUCCACCCAGAAGCCACCGGAUGUAUCAUCAUCUGCUACAACUUGCUGCCAUCGUAACAGCGCUGAUGCUAAUUUGUCUCCAACUGUCGGCCGGCCAGCAUGGUCGUCAUAAUCCCCCGGGUACAGGUGCGGGCCCUGAUCCCAAUUCUCCAGUUUUUAAUCCUCCAUAAGAUGAUGAUUGAUGAGAAUACGCUAAUAUUUCUCGCUUCAGAUAUGGAAACCGUAGUAGAUGAGGCAUUUACACUGGUGUCUAUCUAUAACUACCAAUCUAUUGUAUAUUUUUCUUAGAUAUUCACAAAAUGCCUUAAAUACGUGAAGUUUGAAGUGUUAUGAUAGUAAAAAAAAA